GAUGAACGCUGGCGGCGUGCCUAAUACAUGCAAGUCGAGCGAACAGACGAGGAGCUUGCUCCUCUGACGUUAGCGGCGGACGGGUGAGUAACACGUGGAUAACCUACCUAUAAGACUGGGAUAACUUCGGGAAACCGGAGCUAAUACCGGAUAACAUAUUGAACCGCAUGGUUCAAUAGUGAAAGACGGUUUUGCUGUCACUUAUAGAUGGAUCCGCGCCGCAUUAGCUAGUUGGUAAGGUAACGGCUUACCAAGGCAACGAUGCUUAGCCGACCUGAGAGGGAGACCGGCCACAAUGCGACUGAGGAAGGGACCAGAGUGAUACGGGAGGAAGGGGGGGAGAAUAUUGCAGAAUGGGCGAGAGUGUGAUGUAGAGACGCCGCGUGAGAAAUGCCGGCUUUUGGGUUGUAAACAUAUUUGAGAAGGGAAGAAGCGAUAGUGACGGUACCUGAAGAAGAAGCGCCGGCUAACUACGUG
rnacentral:rRNA from 1 species